UACAGAGGGUGCGAGCGUUGUCCGGAAUCACUGGGCGUAAAGGGCGCGUAGGCGGCUUGAUAAGGUUGCGGUGAAAGCCCGGGGCUCAACCCCGGGUCGGCCGUGGCAACUGUCGAGCUGGAGCACUGUAGAGGCAGGUGGAAUUCCGGGUGUAGCGGUGGAAUGCGUAGAGAUCGGGAAGAACAUCAGUGGCGAAGGCGGUCUGCUGGGCCGUUGCUGACGCUGAGGCGCGACAGCGUGGGGAGCAAACAGG
rnacentral:rRNA from 1 species